rnacentral:rRNA from 1 species
UUAACACAUGCAAGUCGAACGCCCCGCAAGGGGAGUGGCAGACGGGUGAGUAACGCGUGGGAAUCUACCCAUCUCUGCGGAAUAGCUCUGGGAAACUGGAAUUAAUACCGCAUACGCCCUACGGGGGAAAGAUUUAUCGGGGAUGGAUGAGCCCGCGUUGGAUUAGCUAGUUGGUGGGGUAAAGGCCUACCAAGGCGACGAUCCAUAGCUGGUCUGAGAGGAUGAUCAGCCACAUUGGGACUGAGACACGGCCCAAACUCCUACGGGAGGCAGCAGUGGGGAAUAUUGGACAAUGGGCGCAAGCCUGAUCCAGCCAUGCCGCGUGAGUGAUGAAGGCCUUAGGGUUGUAAAGCUCUUUCACCGGUGAAGAUAAUGACGGUAACCGGAGAAGAAGCC